GAUCUGAGAGGAGAGGGACCCAUGCUUCGGUAUGGGAGGCGUACACAGGUGCUGCAUGGCUGUCGUCAGCUCGUGUCGUGAGGUGUUGGGUAAGUCCCGCAACGAGCGCAACCCUGCAUCCAGUUGCCAUCGGGCGAGCCGGGCACUCUGGAGGGGACUGCCGGCGACAAGCCGGAGGAAGGUGGGGAUGACGUCAAGUCAUCAUGGCCCUUAUGUCCAGGGCGACACACGUGCUACAAUGGCCGGCACAGCGGGAAGCGGAGGGGCGACCCUGAGCGGAUCCCUUGAAAGCCGGUCCCAGUUCGGAUUGCAGUCUGCAACUCGACUGCAUGAAGUUGGAAUCGCUAGUAAUCGCGGAUCAGCCAAGCCGCGGUGAAUACGUUCCCGGGCCUU
rnacentral:rRNA from 1 species